rnacentral:lncRNA from 1 species
UUCAGAUUUCAUAAAUAAAAAGAAAAUUUCUAAAAACGUUUUUUUGAGAGGAUUAAUAUUCAACAGCAUAGUGAAUUGCUCAAAGGCAAAAAACAAAUUUUAAGUUUAUUAGACCACAUUCAUUCUGUGUCAGAAACCUAUGCUGUGUCAACUAUUUAAUCACAAUCAAAAUUUAGAGCUGAAUCCUGCUUGAAUGUUGUGUCCAUACUUGCCCCAACCGUUCAGGGUUCAAACUCUGUGGUCGUAUAAAGCUG